UACAGAGGUGGCAAGCGUUGUUCGGAAUUACUGGGCGUAAAGGGCGCGUAGGCGGUCUUGCAAGUCCUGUGUGAAAUCCCUUGGCUCAACUGAGGAACUGCACAGGAAACUGCUUGGCUUGAGUUCGGGAGAGGGAAGCGGAAUUCCGGGUGUAGCGGUGAAAUGACGUAGAUAUCCGGAGGAACACCGGUGGCGAAGGCGGCUUCCUGGACCGACACUGACGCUGAGGCGCGAAAGCUAGGGGAGCAAACGGG
rnacentral:rRNA from 1 species